CAGCCCUCCUCCCACACAGCUCCCAGGCUGAAGGUGCCUUGUGACCCAGGCCUGUGCUCCCCAUGCAUUCAGUGGCCGGUUCAGGGACCUGUGUGCCCAAACCCAGCUAAUCCCAGCCAGGAAACCUCAGUUCUGGGACUUCUGGUCAAGCUUUUGGGGCAGUGGACUCCCUUUUCUCCCAGGACGUGGGUCUGAAAGUUUAUAGCACUGAGGGGGACACCCAGUCUGAGAAGGUGGCGGAUGCAGCACAAGGUAUUGCUGAGCAAUAGAGAGAAACAGCGUUCUCAUGACAGCGUUUGAGUUCUGGAUCAAGCCGUACUUGAACCUUCCUGGAUUUAUCAGUCACUUGAAUCGAUAAGUCCCCCUUUUGUCUUAAUCUAGCCUGAGUCAGGCUUUCUGUCACUCACAGUCAAAAAAGGCCUGACUGAUAAACCCAUUCUCUGGCAUCAAGGCCUCUGUGAACCCAAUUAAUAAAGUGGUGGCUGCCUGGAUUAGCACAAAUUCAGAGCAAAAGGAAGGAGAAAAUGUUUCCAGACAUUCUACUCAGGCUUUGGGGCAUCCCUAGCCUACUUGAGGUAUUGCAGGAAAAAAAAAUCCUUCAGAAUUGGAAGACUUGAGUUUAAAACUCAGCCCUCUCACUUACUCACUAGCUGUGUGACCUUGGACAAGUCACUAAACCUCUCUGAGACUCUAUUUCUUCAAACCUCUGAAGGCUAUAAUGACAGUAAAAUGAAAUAAUGUGCAUAAAGCGCUAAGUACACAGUAGGUCCUCAAUAAAUGCACCCAUACAAUGUGGCUCAGCGCAUCUACAUCUACUUAAUUACAGGCACAUGAAGAAGACAUAUGGGGACAGAGAGGAAGGCCAGCCUGUUUCCCCAGAAUUCACUCAUUGUGGGUGCUCCCUCGACGUGUAGCUUCUGUUGGUCUUAGCAGGAAGCAGGAGGGUACGGCAGAAAGGAGCAAGGGCUUUGGGGUCAGAGAAACCUGGGUUUAAGUUCUGUCUCUGCUCUGUGACCUUAGGCAAGUUGCCUAACCUCUCGGAGCCUUGUUCCCUCGUUAGUAAAAUGGGGAAGGCAAUGGUACCUCGUAAGGAGAUAUGGGACGAAAGCACGAUGCAGCAGACACUGGACUUAGCAAGCACGCUUAUGCUCCCAGGCCUAGCCAGGCUCUUCCUCAAAGGUUGGUCCUUAAGACCCUGCCACGUUCCUGCCUCCCUGAGCUCAGCCACGCCUGUGACUUCAACUCCUCGGCCUCCCUGAUGACCGCAAAGAUCCGUGUCCAGGCCCGACCUCUCUCCAGAGUCCAGACCUCCUGGGCGCCUCCACCAGGAUGUCCUCCAGGCACUCCGAACCCAGCGCCAGGUCCUGGAUCGUCCACUGCUCCCUGUGUGAUUUGGGUCUGUCGCCUUGGUUUCUUCGCCUAUAACAUGAGCAGCUGGUAGUGGCCCUAACAUCCUAGGAUUCUCACCUCCAACAUGUCAUCUCCCCAGACUCAUCACCCCCAAAAGCAGCAGCACCGUUCUCCAGCGAAGCCCAGCCUGGAAACUCCGAGUCAGCGUGGGUUCGUCCACCUUGGUCAUCACAGCCCCCACGUCUGGGAGGGUCUGCCUCGAUAUGCUGCCCUAUCUCUACACCCCUCCUGUGGCCCCACCGUCGUCCUAGGCCAGACCCUCAGCACUACACCUCCGGGCCCCGCACCGGCUUCCCCACUCCGUCCACCCUCUGCUCCUCCCACCCAUGAACCGAUGGUCAGUGAAGGCCUGGGCAGCUUCCCUCUCAAACAGUCUUAGCGUGGAGGCUGGGCCUUCUCAUGUCACCAUCAAGACCUGGACUUCGCUGUUGACAGUGUCAGUGCCCUGGAGAUUCUUUCUAAGGUUGGGGAUGAGGAGAGAAACCUCUCGCGGGGUCCAUACUAGACGCUCAAUAAAUAUUUGUUAAAUUCAUUCAUUCAUUCAUUCAUGCUUUUCGAAACACACCCUCUGGAUGGUCAUCUCCAAUCCAAGACAGACAACGCCAGAGGUUGCUUUGCAAAUCUCGUGAAAACUAUGGGCCUUUGUUUACCUAUGUGAAUUUUGCGUAUCAUUUCAGCGGGUUCAUAGCCCCCCAAGCCCAUCUACAGAGCAAAGGUUGCCCCUGAUUGAGCUCGUUUUAUGGAUGGGGAGACUGAGACGCAAAGAGACAAAGGGACGUGUCAGAGAACAUGCAGAGCUAGUCGUCGGCCAGGCACCAGAUCAUCUUAUGAAAGAGCUGGAUCCACUCCCGGCUCCAGGUCCAGGCUUUGAGUAGUAAGUCACGUAACACCUCACGUCUUUGUGCUGUCUCCCCAUCCACGCACGAGGGACCAGGCCCGCACUGUGAGGCUGCAGAGAGAAGAUGCUGUGUACAGAGGAGCCUGGCCCAGACCCGUGUGUGGAAGACAAUUCCUGUCCCAUUCUCCUGCUUGCCUUUUCUCUUCCUUUCCUUGCAGGAUUUUGGAGCACAGAAACGUCACUGCCGUCUAAAGAGGUCAUGGAAGUCUUCGCGGAAGAGAAAAGCCCCGCCUGAGCUUCAGCUUUGGGUGCUGGAGGAGGGCAGGGGCCAAGGGUUAUUAAUAGGCCUGGCUUGAUGGGCCCAGGGCGGGCGAAUGUGAUACAGACACCCAGCACCAUCGUUGGGGAGUACCUGACACCGGAAGGGGAGGGGGCUGCGGGCCGGGGGGAGCGCCACCUCCCAAAAUAGCCAGAGCAGAAGCCUAUAUAGGUGGCCGUCCCACCACCAGGCUCACUUCCCAACAGGACCUCCCACCAACCCAGCCUUCCGGUGCAGUUCCAGCCCUCCACCCCCACCCGAGGUGAGUGGCAGCUAUGGAGGCUGGAGGAGGAUGCAGGGAGGCAGUGGGGAGGAAGCCAGCUGGAAGGGACAGUGAGACAAGGGCUGGGGGAGGGGAUGCCCAGAGGUAGGCAGCUGUGGAGUCCAGGCCUGAGAGCACGGGAUUCUUGUGCUGUCCAUCCUGUCUCCCAAGGUGACCUGAGGCAAAUCCCUCCCGCUGGCUGGGCCUCAGCUUCCCACCUGUAGAACAAGAGGGAUGGAGCCUGACAUCUGUGGACUCCGGUGAUGCCAUCAGAGGGGGCCCACGAGCUGAGUGGGCAGAGGAGGCAGGAGGAAGGAGUGUGCAGGGCUGACGGUUGAGCUGACAAUAUUGUCUGACACUUGGUGGAUGGACUGGGGCCUGAAAGCGUCCAGUUGAUGGAAGGCAGCAGGGAGAGAUGGACGAAGGAGGGAGAAGGACGCGCCUCUGUGGAGGCUCCAGCCGUUGCCACAGGGGCCCCUGUCUGGGACUCUCCAGGAGCUCGUCUGUGGCUCAGACACGUGGGACUUGAUGGGGCUGCGCCCUGAGCCCUGGGGAGGAGCUCCGGGGAGCGGGUCCCUGAACUCCAAGUCAGUCGACCUGGGAGUGGGCCCCUCUCUGCCAGUGCCUCGCUGUGCAUCCUCAAGCCAUUCACUGACUCUCUCUGGCCUCAGUCUCCCCACCAGCGUAGAAUAAGGAUCCUUCACCCGGGGAAACAGAUCCUCAGCUAGGCGCCUUGACUGAGCCGAGCCCAGGGGCUGAAAUGAUAGCACAGAAGCCCAGCAUGUUGGAGUUAACAGCCCAGCUGGGGUCGGGGCAGCAGGGGCAGCCGAGGUGUCUGGGGAAGGUCUCGUGCCGGGAGGCCAGGUCUGCAGCCUUGGCGCCUUGGAAGCCGCUGGUGGGCUGGUGCCUGAAGAAGCUGACUCACAGGGAGGGGGACAGCCUGAGCCAGCGGUGUCCUAGGGUUUCCAGGAGGGCAGCCGUCCAGGGCCGAGCCGAGGCAGACAGUGUGGACAGCCAAGGCCGGGCAACCGGAGCUAACGGACAGCUGGGCAGCUCUCUCCAGCCCGCCAAAGGCCACCAGUGUCAGCCCCUGACCGCCUGCCCACAUCUUGAGUUGAGGUCUCAAGGUUCCACCACAAGGGACCACAACACCAUCAACACAACGGAGGGAGGCAGAAGCCCAGAAACGGGGAAGGUCACCACCCAAGGUCACACAAGGAUUUAGUGCAGCCCCAAAUCUAGAACCCCAGCCUCCUGACUCCCUGUCCAGUGCUCCACACACUCUAGAGGCAGCCGGUUGCAGCCUGAGUCCUUGGGAGACCGUGGGAAAGAAUGCAAUUGGUCUCUGGCUGCACAAAGAUUAGGAAGUGUCAUGUUUCCCAGAGACGCAAUUCAGGCCAUGAAAUCUGCUUCCGUUGUCUAAAAAGUGAAUGUGCCACCUUCUCCCCAGACAUGGGCCGUCUGCUCUCCAAGUGGGGUGAGGCUGCAUGGAGAUUCCAAGUAGUCUUUCCCACCUCCCCCUCCCUCAAAGCUUUGUGGGGCAGGAGGCGUCUGGACCAGGCGCAAUCCUCUGGGGCCCAGGAGACCAGGAAAGUAGUUAGGGGGGAUCUGAGAAGAGAUCUUCGAAAAGUCAGACUAGCAAUAGGAAAAAAAAAUUAAAAAAAUCAGGAUUCAGAACGUGCAUCCUGGCCAGAUGUGGGAUGGGGCACCUGCAGGGGGCCCCAGCAGCGCCGGCCUAUCCGUGCCACCCUCUCCCAGCGUCCCGUGGGUCGGGUUUCCAGACCUCAGAGCUCAGAUUUUGCAGCAUAAAUUUGCAUCCAGGACAGACAAGAGCCGAGGCUGAGGUAGGAGCAGAGAGAGAAUGGGAACAGGGCCGAGGGGCCCACGAGGGUGCAGGCCUGGCCCCGGCCGGUCAGUAUCCUCCCAGAAGCGGCGCGACAUCCUCCGAGGUGCGUCGACCCGGGACUGCGCUGCACCAAGCCGGUGCCUCCUGCGCGCCCUUGACGGCAGGCGAACCCUCCAGACCCGGCUGGUGACGCUGGCGCCCCGUAAAUUCCAGAGGCCGCCCCUUGCUCUGGCUCCCCAGCCGCAGCCCCUGGGGUCCCGAGGACCCUCGGCGGGGGCGGGGAAGGAUCGGCCGCGGGACGCCAGCCCGCCCGGCCCGCGCAGCCCAGUGGCUCGGCGGGACUGAGCAGCUCUGGCUGCGCGCCGAGCCCCGCGCCCCCUGGCUCUGCGCCAGGCCGGCGGGCGUGCGCCCGGCGCGCAGCACUGCAGCGCUGGUCAUAUGAGCAGAAAUGAUGAGAAAAGCACUUUUUAAUCUUUUCACACUUGCUCUGCCCGCUCAAACAGUUGCAGGAUGUCGAUGACAGACUUGCUCCACGCUGAGGACAUCAAGAAGGCAGUGGGGGCCUUUACCGGUGAGCAGCGCGCUCCCCUCCCCAGCUCCCUUCCCUCAUCCACCACCUUGGCCCCCGCACCCCCGCGGGCUGCGCGGACGUGCGGUCCUCCCCAGCGCUCCUCUGCCCACGUAUCCCGCGGGGCGCUGGCCGGGCUGGGAGGGGGGUCCUCAGCAUUUUCCAACUCGGACCGGGCGGGACGUGGCCCAGGGAGGAGGCAGGGAGGCCCGGUGCCCUACCAGAAGACCGAAACUUGCAGGCGCCGAAGGCUGGGUGCCCACGCUGCGAGGACUGGGGUCCCCGACCAAGGGCGAAGACCAGGGUGGAAAGCAGGGUCUCCGGGUCCCUGUGAGCGCUCGGGACUUCCCCUUUAAGGCCCUUGGAGGGGGCUGCAGCUGCAGAAUCCUUCGACCACAAAAAGUUCUUCCAAAUGGUGGGCCUGAAGAAAAAGAGCCCGGAUGAUGUGAAGAAGGUGUUCCACAUCCUGGAUAAAGACAAGAGCGGCUUCAUCGAGGAGGAAGAGCUGGGAUUCAUCCUGAAGGGCUUCCUCCCGGAUGCCCGAGACCUGACUACUAAGGAAACCAAGACGCUGCUGGCUGCUGGAGACAAGGAUGGGGACGGCAAGAUUGGGGCCGACGAAUUCUCCGUCCUGGUGGCUGAAAGCUAAGAGGCUCUGACGGCCCCGGGUCCUCCACCUCUCCGCCCCGGACCCCUGAUCUCAGCCCCUCUUGCCACCCUCCUGCGUUUCUGUUGAGUUUGUUUAUGUUAUUUUUUACUCCCCCCUGUGCCCUGCGGCCCUCGAGUGACACCGUUCUUCUGGAAAAUGCUGGAGAAACAAUAAAGGCUGUACCAAUCGGACUCUGCUGCUCGGGAGGACUCAGGCCUGGCGGGGUGUGGGUCCCGCCGUGACUUUGCAGACACACCUGUGCAGGGGUGGGGCCGGGAUUUAGACGGUUAGAAGAGAUGGGAUGGAAGAGAAAGGUACUAAGCCUCUCUUCUGUGUUUGGUACUGAACGUGGUACUCUACGUGGGCUGCCCAUUAAUCCUUGAAACCACCCCAUAAGGUAGGCAAUGAAACUCCCAUUUUACAGAUGCAGAAACUAAGUCUUGGAGAGAAAAGUGAUGUGUCUGAGCUGACAUGGCUAGGACUUG
ensembl:lncRNA